AGAGUUUGAUCAUGGCUCAGGAUGAACGCUGGCGGCGUGCUUAACACAUGCAAGUCGAACGAACCUUCGGGUUAGUGGCGGACGGGUGAGUAACGCGUGAGAAUCUGCCCUCAGGAGGGGGAUAACGGUUGGAAACGACCGCUAAUACCCCAUAUGCCUACUGGUGAAAUGAAUUUCGCCUGAGGAUGAGCUCGCGUCUGAUUAGCUAGUUGGUGAGGUAAUGGCUCACCAAGGCUUCGAUCAGUAGCUGGUCUGAGAGGAUGAUCAGCCACACUGGGACUGAGACACGGCCCAGACUCCUACGGGAGGCAGCAGUGGGGAAUUUUCCGCAAUGGGCGAAAGCCUGACGGAGCAACGCCGCGUGAGGGACGAAGGCCUCUGGGCUGUAAACCUCUUUUCUCAAGGAAGAAGAUAUGACGGUACUUGAGGAAUAAGCCACGGCUAAUUCCGUGCCAGCAGCCGCGGUAAUACGGGAGUGGCAAGCGUUAUCCGGAAUUAUUGGGCGUAAAGCGUCCGCAGGCGGCUUUUCAAGUCUGCUGUUAAAGCGUGGAGCUUAACUCCAUCAUGGCAGUGGAAACUGAAAGGCUUGAGUAUGGUAGGGGCAGAGGGAAUUCCCGGUGUAGCGGUGAAAUGCGUAGAUAUCGGGAAGAACACCAGUGGCGAAGGCGCUCUGCUGGGCCAUUACUGACGCUCAUGGACGAAAGCCAGGGGAGCGAAAGGGAUUAGAUACCCCUGUAGUCCUGGCCGUAAACGAUGAACACUAGGUGUCGGGGGAAUCGACCCCUUCGGUGUCGUAGCUAACGCGUUAAGUGUUCCGCCUGGGGAGUACGCACGCAAGUGUGAAACUCAAAGGAAUUGACGGGGGCCCGCACAAGCGGUGGAGUAUGUGGUUUAAUUCGAUGCAACGCGAAGAACCUUACCAGGGUUUGACAUCCUGCGAACCUCUUAGAAAUUUGAGGGUGCCUUCGGGAAUGCAGUGACAGGUGGUGCAUGGCUGUCGUCAGCUCGUGUCGUGAGAUGUUGGGUUAAGUCCCGCAACGAGCGCAACCCACGUUUUUAGUUGCCAGCAUUUAGUUGGGCACUCUAGAAAGACCGCCGGUGAUAAACCGGAGGAAGGUGUGGAUGACGUCAAGUCAUCAUGCCCCUUACACCCUGGGCUACACACGUACUACAAUGCUACGGACAAAGGGCAGCAAACUCGCGAGAGCUAGCAAAUCCCAUAAACCGUGGCUCAGUUCAGAUCGUAGGCUGCAACUCGCCUACGUGAAGCAGGAAUCGCUAGUAAUCGCAGGUCAGCAUACUGCGGUGAAUACGUUCCCGGGCCUUGUACACACCGCCCGUCACACCAUGGAAGUUGGCCAUGCCCGAAGUCGUUACUCCAACCCUUGUGGAGGAGGACGCCGAAGGUGGGGCUAAUGACUGGGGUGAAGUCGUAACAAGGUAACCGUA
rnacentral:rRNA from 1 species